UCCACACCUGGUUUCCUGGUCGCACCUUUGGGGAUGGGGAUCGACCAGCCUCGGCCUGGCCUGGCCCCUCGCGGGCAAGGUGGGCGCGCAAACUGGAUGCAAGGGAAAGCUAGCCUCAUCGAUUUUCCUGCAGUUGAGCCCUGGCAAAACUCUGCGCUCCUGCAUUUAAACAGCAAAGCAGGUGACAUUAGCACCGCCACUACGCCCGACUUACUUCAACACUGUCGUUCUAUACAGCCACUCAGAGUUUUCAUUGGAAUUUACAAUCUUUCAACUGCGGAGAUGUCUGAAAGGCAUCAGGAUCGGCUUUGACCAAAGACACUGACAGAAUCACAAUUUGCAGGACGUACAUAUGGUUCUUCCUAACUUGGUGCAUCUGUGGUUUCAAGUGAAAGAAAAUUACCACAAGUUUAUUAAGGUCAAUAAAAAGUAUUCUUUGAUCAACUACGAGUGAAAAUAGAUGGACAAAUAUGGCUGGACUGUCUAUUGAACACGACAAGAAGAAAAAAGACUGAUUGUGACAAAAGCCCUGUGAAAUUUGCAGAUACUAAGACUCAAAAACAGAAACUGGUCUAUAAUAUUAUUCAUUAAUGUGAAAAAUGGAUAUGUUGGUCCAUUGUCGUUGUCACCGAAUACACUUGGUCCCAUGGAGAAGCGGAGUUAAAAGAUCCAUUGGGCGUCCCCAGCGAGCACUGGAAAGGCCAGGUGUGCGGGAGGAGAGGAUGGGCUAUGGUCCAGGAGAGGAUGGGCUGUGGUCCGGGAGGGUGAGGGGCUGGACUGGGCAGUGGAGGAGGCUGCCAGCUUCCCCUACGCACUGGUGGCCACUUCCUUCAGCUGCAGAAGGCAGGACCACUUAGACUGAGCCGGGUGCACGGCCUCUACAGAUGGCCAGGGGAGGGGAGGGGGCCAGCUGGAGAGGGUGGGCUGCCAAGGAUGGGCCCGGGGUCUGGGGAAGCAAGGAGGUACGGUUGACAGCUGGCAGAACCAGGGUCAGAGGUCCCAGCUGGGCUGAAGAAUGCUGGGUCCUGGACAGGUGGGAGCCCCGUGGAAGAGGGUGGCAGUGGUGGGGCGGGGAAUGCCUGCUGUGGUGGGGUGCCGGGAGACCCCUGAGGGCCACCCCGAGCCUCUCUGACACAGAGCUGCGGACCUUGGCCAGGUGAUCACUUGCUGGGUCCGAGUGUGAGCAGAGCCAUCUUACGGUUUGCGGGUCCGAAGUGAGGCGGUGGAGCAAGGUCCCCACAGGGAGCAGGUGCGCGGUGCCUGGGCGGGAGUUCCGGCCGGAGUCAAGGGGCCAGAGCGGCAGUUCCGAAUGCGGCCGGCAGAGGGCGCGCGCGGACCCGCCGCUGCUCCCCAAUGAGGCCGAAGAGGCCGCUGCCCUCCAGGGACCCAGCUGACGGAGGACACGGGCACACAAACCGAGUCUAGUCCCACGGGGUGUGGGGGAGGGGACCCACUUAACACAGGGCCACCAGGAGAGAGACCUUCUCUAGCUGAGACCCUAGGACCUGCAGAGGGCCCAGGCUGAGCCCCUCACCCGGGGAGGGAGGGAGCUGGUCCCGGCAAGGCACUGGCUGGUGUAAAGGCCCUGGGGUCGGGUCGGCCUGGCGAUCGGAGGCCGGGGUUGGCCGGGGCAGCCCGGGCACCUGUGAUUCUGCAUGCGAGUUUGUCCCCCAGGCCUUCAGUUCUGGGUGUGGGGUGGCGUCCGUUUUCUGAGAUCGGCUGAAGGGAGGUGGGUGUUGAGUGGGGAAUGUGGGCAGGGUGGGGGAAUUUGGGGUGAUCUUUGCCUUCUUCUUGGUACUUUUCUGUGUUUUCCAGAGCUUCCAAAAUGACCUUCUGUUGCUUAAAACCAAAUGCUUUUGAAUCGGUGGUACCAUCAGGUGGUUUAAAAACUGUGGGAUGGUGUACAGUGACCACGGCCCGCUCCUUGGCCCCCAUCACGUUGAUUACUUUCUCCUGCACCCUUCCCAAGUCUACAGAGAGUACAAACGGACACGAAAACCAUUCUUUUCCACCUUUGCUUACAGAGGACGCAGCGCUAUGUGCACGCUGUCACUACCAUGCUCUCUGCACCUCAUUAGGGUCUGGGCGUGGGCGGUCCUGGUCCCAGAGCGCUGGCUGCUGCAGUGAAGCCAGCUGCGGGGCCUCACCAGCCUGUCUUUCUCCUUUCUUGGGGAGGGGCGGUGCUGGCUGUGCACUUCCAGGAGGGGGAGCAGGGGGAGCCCCUUGUGGCUGGCUCCGGGCAGGGGAAUUCUGGGCAGAGCUGGAGGCCGGCCUUUCUGGAAACUCGUCCAUCAGGUGAUUACACAGUGAGAGUGAAAACAGCUCCUUUCAGAAGCUGCAGCCCCCGGUUGACCUUCAAAUGUCUGAAAAACGAGAAAAGAAGCAGGGCCGAGCUCUCAGGACGGGAAGUGGGCCGUACUGGGAGGCUGGCUCUGCUCUGCACCGGCCUCUGCUCUGGGGACAGCACCGGGCACAGGAGGGGCAGCCCACGUCCAGGGUCCUAAGUGCGGGCCCAUGGCGGCCUUCCUGCCUCCUGGCCCUGAGUGCUGUUCUCCCAGAGGCCUGGGAGAGUAAAGGAUGGGAGGUGAGAUGUCCAAGGGGACUGGCCACGCCAGUGGGGAGCGGAGGUGCCACCAGCAUUCAGAAAUGUCCUGGGCGCAGACCAGGACCCGAGGGAGGACAGCCAAGGGGGCAGGCCCCCCCCCCCGGGAAGGGGGCCUUGGGGCAGAGUGGGUGGCCGCGGCAGAACCCUCCCCCGGGGUCUGCAGGCCCAGUGGGCAGCUGAUGGGGCCUCUCCUGCCUGGCCGGCGAGCUGUGCAAAGCCAGCGUCCACCGCAGCAUCGACCUGGAUCUGUAGCCAGGCCCACGCCUCUCUCUGGGGGGCACUGAGGCACAGGACAGAGGCCCUAGACCCCAGCCCUCAGGGGGCAGGUG